rnacentral:lncRNA from 1 species
ACCCCGCCCGGUAACAAAUCUAGUCGCGACGCUUUCGAAAAAGCAAUGGAUCGUGCCGAGAUAGAAAAUUUUCUGGAGGCUAUGUAUGCCGAGGGGCUGGCGGCCCAGCAGACGGUGGUGAACCCGGAGACGCUGGUGCUGAGCCAGUCUGAGGUUGCGGUGGAGCUGCCGAUGCCGCACCACUCCCAUCUGGGUGAGGAUGGCCUGCCGGUAGUGCAGGCGGACACCCAAGUGGGUGGCGGGGAGAGGGGGAAUGUUGGUACAAGGCCGCGGGAGCGGAUGCCUACCACCCGGCGCGGUCCUCAAAAGAAGACGGUGCAGCCGACGGGGACUGCCACCGAGUCCCGGGGUGAGCCGCCGGUGCGGGUGACGAGGACCGCUGCUGGGACACAACGGGCGUUGGAGAAAAAACGCCGGCAGCCUGACUCCCCCGUCG